UAAAGUAAAUAGUCUGGAUUGAUGAA
rnacentral:ncRNA from 2 species